GACGAACGCUGGCGGCGUGCUUAACACAUGCAAGUCGAACGGAAAGGCCCUGCUUUUGUGGGGUGCUCGAGUGGCGAACGGGUGAGUAACACGUGAGUAACCUGCCCUUGACUUUGGGAUAACUUCAGGAAACUGGGGCUAAUACCGGAUAGGAGCUCCUGCUGCAUGGUGGGGGUUGGAAAGUUUCGGCGGUUGGGGAUGGACUCGCGGCUUAUCAGCUUGUUGGUGGGGUAGUGGCUUACCAAGGCUUUGACGGGUAGCCGGCCUGAGAGGGUGACCGGCCACAUUGGGACUGAGAUACGGCCCAGACUCCUACGGGAGGCAGCAGUGGAGAAUAUGGCACAAUGGGCGGAAGCCUGAUGCAGCAACGCCGCGUGCGGGAUGACGGCCUUCGGGUUGUAAACCGCUUUCGCCUGUGACGAAGCGUGAGUGACGGUAAUGGGUAAAGAAGCACCGGCUAACAACGUG
rnacentral:rRNA from 1 species